ACAUCAGUAGCAAAGUGCAGUCUGCCGGAAACAGAAAGACGCGGGUUCAAUUCCCGUCCGAUGUC
rnacentral:tRNA from 1 species